rfam:Enterobacter aerogenes KCTC 2190, complete genome.
UAUUCUGCCCUACGGGGAAGGAUGAGAAGCUUCGACUAAGGUUCGACUUGAGCGUCAGCGAGAGAACGUUGCCGCAGGCAACGGCCCGAAGGGCGAGGCGCUUUAGCGCCGAGUAAUCCUUCCCCCACUACUG